UAUAAAGAGAGUUGGAGUGGAGGUGAGAUUUGUGAUCGCGAAAGCCCUUGACUCCCUCCUUCUCCGCCUUCCGCCUCUCUCUGAUUAGUUCCUAUCCAGCAGCAGAUUGAAGCAGGAGAUGAUUCUUCUCAAGGAUGAAGAGCUAGUGAAAAGCAAGCCACAGAAGAAUAAUUUGACCAUAUAUGUAUAUUUUGUACAUACAUUUGUGAAUAAAUGUAUCUUAAAAGA